AGAGCUGACUUGGUCUCGCAGCUGCUGGUGUCAUUUUUGUGACUCGCAGCUUAUGUUUGUCAGGCCAGUUGCAUAGUCACAAAAGUGAUCCCCAGUGGUUGUGUCUCUCUCCAGAAAACC
rnacentral:pre_miRNA from 17 species